UGGGGAAUAUUGCACAAUGGGCGCAAGCCUGAUGCAGCCAUGCCGCGUGUAUGAAGAAGGCCUUCGGGUUGUAAAGUACUUUCAGCGGGGAGGAAGGGAGUAAAGUUAAUACCUUUGCUCAUUGACGUUACCCGCAGAAGAAGCACCGGCUAACUCCGUGCCAGCAGCCGCGGUAAUACGGAGGGUGCAAGCGUUAAUCGGAAUUACUGGGCGUAAAGCGCACGCAGGCGGUUUGUUAAGUCAGAUGUGAAAUACCCGGGCUCAACCUGGGAACUGCAUCUGAUACUGGCAAGCUUGAGUCUCGUAGAGGGGGGUAGAAUUCCAGGUGUAGCGGUGAAAUGCGUAGAGAUCUGGAGGAAUACCGGUGGCGAAGGCGGCCCCCUGGACGAAGACUGACGCUCAGGUGCGAAAGCGUGGGGAGCAAACA
rnacentral:rRNA from 1 species